rnacentral:rRNA from 1 species
AGCGGCGGACGGGUGAGUAACGCGUAGGAAUCUACCCAGUAGUGGGGGACAACUUAGGGAAACUUAAGCUAAUACCGCAUACGCCCUAAGGGGGAAAGGGGGGGAACUCUUCGGAGACCUCUCACUAUUGGAGGAGCCUGCGUUGGAUUAGCUAGUUGGUAGGGUAAAGGCCUACCAAGGCGACGAUCCGUAGCUGGUCUGAGAGGACGACCAGCCACACUGGAACUGAGACACGGUCCAGACUCC